rnacentral:rRNA from 4 species
GGGUUGUGAGGUUAAGCGACUAAGCGUACACGGUGGAUGCCCUGGCAGUCAGAGGCGAUGAAGGGCGUGCUAAUCUGCGAUAAGCGCCGGUAAGGUGAUAUGAACCGUUAUAACCGGCGAUACCCGAAUGG